CCUACGGGAGGCAGCAGUGAGGAAUAUUGGUCAAUGGACGAGAGUCUGAACCAGCCAAGUAGCGUGAAGGAUGACUGCUCUAUGGGUUGUAAACUUCUUUAUAAAGGAAUAAAACGAGGCACGUGUGCCUUUUUGCAUGUACUUUAUGAAUAAGGAUCGGCUAACUACGUGCCAGCAGCCGCGGUAAUACGGAGGAUCCGAGCGUUAUCCGGAUUUAUUGGGUUUAAAGGGUGAGUAGGUGGUUAAUUAAGUUAGCGGUGAAAGUUUGUGGCUCAACCAUAAAAUUGCCGUUGAAACUGGUUGACUUGAGUAUAUUUGAGGUAGGCGGAAUGCGUGGUGUAGCGGUGAAAUGCAUAGAUAUCACGCAGAACUCCGAUUGCGAAGGCAGCUUACUAAACUAUAACUGACACUGAAGCACGAAAGCGUGGGGAUCAAACAGGAUUAGAUACCCUUGUAGUC
rnacentral:rRNA from 1 species